AACGAACGCUGGCGGCAUGCCUAACACAUGCAAGUCGAACGAGACCUUCGGGUCUAGUGGCGCACGGGUGCGUAACACGUGGGAAUCUGCCCUUUGCUUCGGAAUAACAGUUAGAAAUGACUGCUAAUACCGGAUGAUGUCGAAAGACCAAAGAUUUAUCGGCCAAGGAUGAGCCCGCGUAGGAUUCGGUAGUUGGUGGGGUAAAGGCCUACCAAGCCGACGAUCCUUAGCUGGUCUGAGAGGAUGAUCAGCCACACUGGGACUGAGACACGGCCCAGACUCCUACGGGAGGCAGCAGUGGGGAAUAUUGGACAAUGGGCGAAAGCCUGAUCCAGCAAUGCCGCGUGAGUGAUGAAGGCCUUAGGGUUGUAAAGCGCUUUUAACAGGGAUGAUAAUGACAGUACCUGGAGAAUAAGCUCCGGCUAACUCCGUG
rnacentral:rRNA from 1 species